GAGUUUGAUCGUGGCUCAGAUUGAACGCUGGCGGCGUGCUUAACACAUGCAAGUCGAACGCGAAAGUGGCUUCGGUCACGAGUAGAGUGGCGCACGGGUGAGUAACGCGUGGAUAAUCUGCCCUCAUAACCGGGAUAACAGUUGGAAACGGCUGCUAAUACCGGAUACGCUCUGAAUGAACUUUUAGGGGAAAGACGGCCUCUGCUUGCAAGCUGUCGUAUGAGGAUGAGUCCGCGUCCCCAUUAGCUGGUUGGCGGGUAACGGCCCACCAAGGCAACGAUGGGUAGCCGAUCUGAGAGGAUGAUCGGCCACACUGGAACUGAAACACGGUCCAGACUCCUACGGGAGGCAGCAGUGGGGAAUAUUGCGCAAUGGGCGAAAGCCUGACGCAGCGACGCCGCGUGAGGGAUGAAGGUUUUUCGGAUCGUAAACCUCUGUCAGAAGGGGAGAAAGUGCGUGGUGCUAAUCAGCCACGUAUUGACGGUACCUU
rnacentral:rRNA from 1 species